UACAGAGGGGGCAAGCGUUGUUCGGAAUUACUGGGGGUAAAGGGCGCGUAGGCGGCCUCUUAAGUCGAACGUGAAAUCCCCGGGCUCAACCCGGGAACUGCGUCCGAUACUGGGAGGCUUGAAUCCGGGAGAGGGAUGUGGAAUUCCAGGUGUAGCGGUGAAAUGCGUAGAUAUCUGGAGGAACACCGGUGGCGAAGGCGGCAUCCUGGACCGGUAUUGACGCUGAGGCGCGAAAGCCAGGGGAGCAAACGGG
rnacentral:rRNA from 1 species